rnacentral:lncRNA from 1 species
AGUGCCGGUAUGAUCGUUCGAAAGGCCGGGGCGAGCUCUUGUGGGCAUCGCAUGGAUGGUACGACUUCUCGAGGGAGAAGUUCUUGUUGUUUUUUGUUACAGCUGGACCCGUAAAGGCUGCCUACGUACCCCCUUUGUGGGGAAUCAAGCCGUUCGUAGUUCUUUGAUUUUCGAGUAAAAGUGGCUGUGAAAGCGCAUUUACUCGGUUUUUUUUU